UACGGAGGAUGCAAGCGUUAUCCGGAAUGAUUGGGCGUAAAGCGUCCGCAGGAGGUUGUGUGUGACUAUUGUCAAAGCAUCAUGCUUAACAUGAUAAAGGCAGUAGAAACUACACGACUAGAGUGCGUUCGGGGCAGAGGGAAUUCCUGGUGUAGCGGUGAAAUGCGUAGAGAUCAGGAAGUGCACCGGUGGCGAAAGCGCUCUGCUAGGCCGCAACUGACACUGAGGGACGAAAGCUAGGGGAGCGAAUGGG
rnacentral:rRNA from 1 species